AACGAACGCUGGCGGCAUGCCUAACACAUGCAAGUCGAACGAGACCUUCGGGUCUAGUGGCGCACGGGUGCGUAACGCGUGGGAACCUGCCCUUAGGUUCGGAAUAACUCCCCGAAAGGGGUGCUAAUACCGGAUAAUGUCUUCGGACCAAAGAUUUAUCACCUUUGGAUGGGCCCGCGUUUGGAUUAGCUAGUUGGUAGGGUAAAAGCCUACCAAGGCGACGAUCCAUAGCUGGUCUGAGAGGAUGAUCAGCCACACUGGGACUGAGACACGGCCCAGACUCCUACGGGAGGCAGCAGUGGGGAAUAUUGGACAAUGGGCGAAAGCCUGAUCCAGCAAUGCCGCGUGAGUGAUGAAGGCCUUAGGGUUGUAAAGCUCUUUUACCCGGGAUGAUAAUGACAGUACCGGGAGAAUAAGCUCCGGCUAACUCCGUG
rnacentral:rRNA from 1 species